UGUUUGGCAUGCUCCUUUUCUUUUCAUUACGUGUGUCAUUCGUCAAAAAGUACGUUUUGUUUUAGAUUUCUAUGCUAAAAGUGUACUAGCUGUGUGUGACGUUAAAUGUUAAAUGCAGUUAAAUGUAAUAUUUUCUGUACCCAACGCUGAUCGUUCUCUUGCCAAAUUUCAUAGACAUUUUUGGAAGUUCAUUGAUUGCCCGUUUUCAUAUGUUUUGUUCACUUAAAUGUGGUCUAUAGCCUAUUGGCCUCUAAUGUUUUAUAUUUCUUGUCUUUCAAAAUUGAGUUGACUAAUACACAUAUUGAAAAAUGUUUCAAAGCAAGUGUUGUAAAAAUCAUAUCAUUGGUUUUUAUACCCCUUGGGUAAUUGCCGGUAGUUAUCAUAAGGAUUCAAAGUGGCCAGUUGUUUGAUAAUGCAAAUUUGGACUAAUGUAGCAUCUUACCUAAUGAUGGUUUAACAUAUAUUGAAU
rnacentral:lncRNA from 1 species